AGCAGCCGCGGUAAUUCCAGCUCCAAUAGCGUAUAUUAAAGUUGUUGCAGUUAAAAAGCUCGUAGUUGAACUUCAGACCUGGCUGGACGGUCUGCCGAAAGGUAUGUACUGUCCGGCUGGGCCUUACCUCUUGGUGAGCCGGCAUGCCCUUCACUGGGUGUGUUGGGGAACCAGGACUUUUACCUUGAGAAAAUUAGAGUGUUUAAAGCAAGCUAACGCUUGAAUACAUUAGCAUGGAAUAAUGAAAUAGGACGUUCGAUCCUAUUUUGUUGGUUUCUAGGAUUGACGUAAUGAUUAAUAGGGAUAGUUGGGGGCAUUAGUAUUCAAUUGUCAGAGGUGAAAUUCUUGGAUUUAUUGAAGACUAACUACUGCGAAAGCAUUUGCCAAGGAUGUUUUCAUUAAUCAAGAACGAAAGUUAGGGGAUCGAAGACGAUCAGAUACCGUCGUAGUCUUAACCAUAAACUAUGCCGACUAGGGAUCGGAUGAUGUUAAUUUUUUAAUGACUCAUUCGGCGCCUUAC
rnacentral:misc_RNA from 2 species